CUCUGACUAAGGCAGGGAAGAAGAGGAGAAAGUGACAGAAGGAAGCUCACCACCUAACCAGGCAGGGCCGUGACCUCGGUGUCUUCCCAACAUCAGUCUGCUGGGCCCUGAGCUGACAAAGUCGGCUCAGGUCUGUGAAGCCAGCUCCUCCACGCCUCUCCCUACACCAUGGAAAAGAGAUUAAAAAUAGCAGAAUCAGCUUCAUCUGGGACUUUCAGAGAUCAACAAGGCCACUGUUUUCAACAGCAAGAAAAUAUCAAGCAGUCCUGGCCACAGACAUGGCUCACAGGACAUGGUAGGCCUGGAGGGUCAAGGGGGAGCUUCCUAUAAUGAAGGAGCUUAG